rnacentral:rRNA from 2 species
GUGGGGAAUAUUGCACAAUGGGCGCAAGCCUGAUGCAGCCAUGCCGCGUGUGUGAAGAAGGCCUUCGGGUUGUAAAGCACUUUCAGCGGGGAGGAAGGCGGUGAGGUUAAUAACCUCAUCGAUUGACGUUACCCGCAGAAGAAGCACCGGCUAACUCCGUGCCAGCAGCCGCGGUAAUACGGAGGGUGCAAGCGUUAAUCGGAAUUACUGGGCGUAAAGCGCACGCAGGCGGUCUGUCAAGUCGGAUGUGAAAUCCCCGGGCUCAACCUGGGAACUGCAUUCGAAACUGGCAGGCUAGAGUCUUGUAGAGGGGGGUAGAAUUCCAGGUGUAGCGGUGAAAUGCGUAGAGAUCUGGAGGAAUACCGGUGGCGAAGGCGGCCCCCUGGACAAAGACUGACGCUCAGGUGCGAAAGCGUGGGGAGCAAACAGGAUUAGAAACCCCAGUAGUCC